GGUGAGAUGGCCGAGCGGUCUAAGGCGCCAGACUAAGGACCAAAGCGCUAAACGCUUACUUGUUAUCUGGUCUCUCCGGAGGCGCGAGUUCGAAUCUCGUUCUCAUCA